rnacentral:rRNA from 1 species
AGAGUUUGAUCAUGGCUCAGAGCGAACGCUGGCGGCAGGCCUAACACAUGCAAGUCGAGCGCCCAGCAAUGGGAGCGGCAGACGGGAUAGUAACACGUGGGAACGUACCUUUCAGUUCGGAACAACCAAGGGAAACUUUGGCUAAUACCGGAUACGCCCGUAAGGGGAAAGAUUUAUCGCUGAAAGAUCGGCCCGCGUCUGAUUAGCUAGUUGGUGAGGUAAUGGCUCACCAAGGCGACGAUCAGUAGCUGGUCUGAGAGGAUGAUCAGCCUCACUGGGACUGAGACACGGCCCAGACUCCUACGGGAGGCAGCAGUGGGGAAUAUUGGACAAUGGGCGCAAGCCUGAUCCAGCCAUGCCGCGUGGGUGAUGAAGGCCCUAGGGUUGUAAAGCCCUUUCGGCGGGGAAGAUAAUGACGGUACCCGCAGAAGAAGCCCCGGCUAACUUCGUGCCAGCAGCCGCGGUAAUACGAAGGGGGCUAGCGUUGCUCGGAAUCACUGGGCGUAAAGCGCACGUAGGCGGAUUGCUAAGUCAGGGGUGAAAUCCUGGAGCUCAACUCCAGAACUGCCUUUGAUACUGGCGACCUUGAGUCCGGGAGAGGUGAGUGGAACUGCGAGUGUAGAGGUGAAAUUCGUAGAUAUUCGCAAGAACACCAGUGGCGAAGGCGGCUCACUGGCCCGGUACUGACGCUGAGGUGCGAAAGCGUGGGGAGCAAACAGGAUUAGAUACCCNNGUAGUCC